rnacentral:lncRNA from 1 species
GGAAUUCAAGCAGCAGCCUAAAAAGGUAGCAUAAAAUCAAGCAGUAAUUAAAACCUGCAGUCUGGUAAUCAAUUCGUAUGGCCUAUAUAUACACACCCACACCACCCUCCACCAAUCGGACAAACAACCUAGACAUCACUUGCUUGUGCACUUGACAUCUUUGCCCUCCGCCUCCCCUUUAAUAUCUGCAGGCCAUUUCCCACCUCCCCACCACUCCGUCUUCGACGACCCUGAU